rnacentral:rRNA from 1 species
AAUUUAAAAAUAUUGCUAAUUAUCUAAAUGUAAAUUGUAAAUCUUUAAAAACUAAUAUAAUCAAAAAUCUAGUAAAGAUUAUUGAAAUGUCUUCUAAAGCUAUAGAGUACAAGUACUGAAUAGGAAAUAAUUCUAUUAUCGCAAAACUAUAAAGUAGGUGUCUAAUUCCGUACCUUGUGUAUCAGGGAUGAACAAAUUUUUAUGAAUAAUUUCAUUAAUCCCGAAGCAAAGAUAGCUAGUGUUUUAAGCAAGUUUUUGUUAUAUAAAAAUUUGUAAUAUAACACUAAAGAUGAGAUGUCAUACGAGCUUUGCUAUAUCUGGUUCCUCAGAAAUUAAAUAUAAUUUGACUAUUAAGUUAAAAUUUACUUAAUAAUAAAGGGUAGGAGGGAUUAGCUUCUUACCACUAAAAUAGUUAUUUAAUAGAUAGAUAUUUUAUUUUAACCUUACUAAGCUUAAAAGUAGCUAUGAUAAUAAAGUGUUCUAAUUUAGGUUAAGCAGAAAAGCUAUUUAUCGUAAUCUUUAAUCAGUUACUGAGGUAUUAUUCUUAACAUUCAAGUUUAAGAAAAAAUGUUUAUAUAAGUAAAAUAAUUAAUGUAAAAAUUCUAAUAUAAAGUUGUUAUAGUAAUAUAGUAUAUAUAAAGAAGUGAAAAAGGAACUCGGCAAAAGUUUUUCUUGCCUGUUUAUCAAAAACAUGUCUAUUAUGAAUUUAUUUAUAGUCUAGCCUGCUCACUGAUAAAAUUAUUAAAUAGCCGCGGUAUCUUGACCGUGCAAAGGUAGCAUAAUCAUUAGUUUUUUAAUUGAAAACUUGUAUGAAUGGUUGGACAAAGAAAAAGCUGUCUCUUUCAUUAAAAUUGAAUUUAACUUCUAAGUGAAAAGGCUUAGAUAUUUUAGAGGGACGAUAAGACCCUAUAAAGCUUUAUAAAUUUAAAGAUUUUAUAUAUUUUUUAUUAUAAUGAUAAUUUCUCAAAAAUUUAUUGGGUUGGGGCAACAAAAGUAUAAUUAUCAAUAACUGCUAUAAAUUACUACAAUUAUUUUUGUUAUUAGAGAGUUGUUGAUCCUCGAAAGGGAUUAAAAGAUCAAGUUACUUUAGGGAUAACAGCGUAAUUUAUCUUGAGAGUUCUUAUCAAAGGAUAAGUUUGCGACCUCGAUGUUGAAUUAAAAUGUCUUUAUAGUGCAGCAGCUAUACAAGAAGGUCUGUUCGACCUUUAAUUUUUUACAUGAUUUGAGUUCAGACCGGCGUGAGCCAGGUCGGUUUCUAUCUUCUAAGAAUAAAAGGUUACUUUAGUACGAAAGGAUUAAGUAGUCAAAAGUAUUUUAAAAUUUUGAAAUA